rnacentral:lncRNA from 1 species
ACAUGAUAAAGGAAAUAGGGAAAAGAUCAGGCACAUCACUAAAGCAGUGAACGCUUUCACACAAAUAGAAAAUGAAGCUAGUUGCCAGAUUAAGUUAUCUAAAAAGAUGAUGGAAUGGAUUCAGAAGGUACGACAUGAAUUUAGGAAGGAAAGAUGCAUUUAUCACUACUUAAGGUGCUGCUGAAGAAGAUACUUUAAAUGGAGGAUGUCCAUCCCACCUGACUGACACUGGUAAGGACCACCAGGAUGCAUCAUCCUCUCCUUAGCCUCUUUUUGACCAACUGUGGUUUUGAACAGCAGCGGGAUAAAGAGUGGACGUGGGAGGGUGAGAAGGAGGAGGAAGGGGCCUUCUUGAGUUGGAGAAGAGAAAGUCUAGAAUGGAAAUCGUACCAUGAAAUAACAUCUAUGUAUAUUGUUUUACCUUUGGGUUAAUUUCACCUACCUUCAUAGCUAAAAAGGUGGAAUUUAAGGUUAAAAGGUUAAAUUUGCCAUAACUGUUCAGAGAAGUUUAAUUCCAAAUACAGUGUUAUAAUUUAAUUUAUAUCUAGCCCAUGCAUCUUUCUGCAGCAUGCCAACAGAAAAGUCUGAGGUCCCAAAUCCUGUUUUGUUUUUCCCCUUUCUUUAUAUAUGUCCGAGAUAACCGAACUCACUGUAGGUCAAUGUGCACAUUUGAAUUCAAAUGUUAUCAUCUCUUAUUUUUCUAUUUUGAAUACUUGAGACAAAAAAAAAAAAAAAAGUCUGGAAAGAGCCAAAAUCUUGUAACUGAAAUCAAGGAAAACUAAUGGGAAGAAGCACCUAGAAGAUGCAGUCAGAACACAGUACCCAGUGGAAAGCAGGAAGAGAAUCACCUGCAAAAAGAGGAAAUAAGUAUUUAUAUUCUCAAGACAAAGACAACAGAAUAGUGGUGACAAAAGAACCUGCUCUAGCCAAGUAUUUCUGGGUGGUUUUCACCAACAGAUUUCCAUUUGAUGGUCUGUUAAAGGUUGAAAAGAAAAACAUUACUGCUACUACCACUGGAAAGCUCACAUCUUGAACCAGCAAAUAGCUAGUUCGGGUGAAUAAAAAAAUCAAGGCAAAAGGACAAAUUCUUAUGAGGAUUAAAAGCAAGUGUGGAAUCUGUUGAUGCCAUGUAAUGGAUAAUGACAAGAAACUUUGCUGACAGAAUGGAAAGAAAUGGACAAAUUUCGGAGAGUAUUAUUCAUACAAAAUGCUUUCUUCCAAGAACUAUCAUUCAUAGAAUUAAAUAAUUAAUAAAUAAUAUUU